GAAACCCCAAGCUCUUCGACGCAGGUUUAGGGUUUCUCGACGAGUCUCAUGAAGAAAUCCCCUCGUUAUUUAUUUUUUUAUUGUCGUUGCAUGCGCUGCAUGGGCGCUGCUGCAUUAGAAUCGGCGGCAGGAUUUUCACGGCGUCUGUUGGAAUGGUGACACUAUGCUACGGCGAUCUGAAAGGGGGUUGAGGUUUGGACGGAAAUUGCACAUCAUUCAUUGUCUGCAGCUCAUCCUUGUUUGCCUUGGAUCUCCGCGAGGAAGGCAUUUUUUUUUCUUCUUGAGAACAGAUUAGGAGCUUUGAGAUCCAACUGGAAAGGAAAGGAGGCCAUGGUUUUGGUAGGGUUUGUGGAGUGAAGUUUGGACUGGAGUGGUGAAGGACGGGGAAGGGGAGAGCGAGGUAUCGCGAAGAAGGGAGGCUUGGUGUGCUGCUGAAGCUAUCUGCUAUCAUAUGCAGACCUAUCAUUUGUGUUGUGCUUUGUUUAAUUUCAUUUUUCAUUAGAGACAGCAUAUUGUGUUUCGAUGGUGUAAAGUACGACUCAACCUAUUCGGAAUCGUCCAGCUUCUUCAUAUCGUAUAUUUUCUUUGCAAAGAAUUCCAUGGAUUCUGAGACUGCGUAGGAAAGAGCCUAUCAGCAUCAUCAAAAUGACAGUUUUUCCUUCAUUAUUAAUCCACGGGUUGUUUCCUGAGCUUGUACAUCCUAUAGUGUGUAGUUGUCAUCUGGGCUUCUGAAUCUAUACUUAGCUCAAUAAAUGUGAAGAGGCUGGAUUUCAUAAUUCAAAUUAUUCUUUGUCGUUUCGAA